GAUAUGAACUGUGGUCAAAACUGUAAUAAUGGAGAAACGCCAGAGCAGGGUUAAAAUACCAAAUAAGAGAACUUUCAGAUGGGUCAAGACCUAGACCCAGAUAGAGAGAGAAAGAGCCAAACCAGAGAAUCAAAAGCCCAGAAGUCGACCGAGGCAAUGAAGUUGAUCGACAACGACAACAGAUAGCUUCGAGUAGAGCUUCAGUCAAGAUCGAAGUAGAUGACCCACGAGGGAUUGCGUCUGAGAUAGACGAGUCAGACCAGACCAGACCAUAGAACCAGACUACUUGAACGACGAUGACCCACGAAGUCGACCGAAGAGGGAGUGCGUCUGAGACAAACGAGGCAGACCAGACCAGAGAACCAGACCAGGCAAAACCCUAGGUUUGUUGCGAGGUGAACUAGAACCAGAGAUCACGAACCAGUAAACUAGAAUAUUGCACGAUGGCAGCUAGGGUUUGAAAACUAGCUCUGAUACCAUGAUGAUGAUAUGAUCUUAGUGCUUCCUUCUAUGCUACUUCUUCAACCUUGACGGCAGAGGCAAAGAGCUUGUCUGGAAGCUCUUAGAUGGUUCAAGCAUAUAUCAAGGGAUAUCUAUGUGGUGUUCACUUGUUGACACAUAUAGUUAUACUUAAUUUGGAUGGAUGACAGUGUCUUAGUGCCCUGUAAUGAAUUAAGUUGUUCAUCCCUCUAUGCUCCUUAGCCGUGAUGGUUCAAGCAUAUCGGAGAUAUCUGAGAAGACCAUAAAGAUGAAGAAGAAGAUGAAGAUGAUGAAGAUAAAGAAGAUAAUCGAAGGCAUUGUUGUUAUGGGGGCUCUUGUCUUCGUUGAAGCUGAAGGGUUCAGGCAGUUAUUCUUGAAAGUGAAGCUCAACAAGUUGUUUAUGAGUUAAAUUUUAUGCAUAGAAUUGGCGUUGCAACAGAGGUUAUGCAAGCUGAUUGUCAUAUUUUGCUCUAUCUUUUCGUAACUCUUCUUUUGCUUAUACUAGAGGAUCUUGUAACAGGUGGCUCAUGAUCAUGAAGUAGCAAGGUUUGCAUCCACACUGAUCUUAGGCUGGUUUGACCUUUAUCUAGUUUUUCAAUAAAAUUUUCUUCAAUAGAAAAAAAAAAAAGAAAAAAAAAAUGAACAGGGAAUCCAAAAGUUUGAAAAGUUUGACAAAAGUGUAUGCAAAUGACAUGGUUAGAGCUAAUAAAAACUGGAAUCCAAACAUUUUCUUAUCAAUCUGGAGAGGAAACUUGGACCUAUUGAGUUUUAUUGAAUAAGUACUAACACAUUAGUAUUGCCAUGAUUUUAUUAAUUAGUAUUGUCAUAUUUUUUAUUCAUCAGCAGUGUCAUGUUUCAAUUUUAUACAUUUGUAUUAUGCUCAAAUCAAUUCAAGAAGAAAAAUUGAAAAGCAAGAUAUGAUUUGAUCGCUUAAAUUUAUGUAAUAGUUCAAAGAGGAUGAAAUUUGGAAUUCAUUCUUUCUCAUUGAAUAUCACAUUGGUUCAAUGCAGUUGUAGUUGCAUACCAUGAUUUAAUCCUUUUUUAAUUUUUCUUUUUGAAACAUGGGUUGAUAAUAAAAAGUUUGACAGAAGUGUACCCAAAUGAAUAUGAUUAGGCCUAAUCAAAAUCCAGAUCUGGGAAUUUCAUUUACAAUUCUGCUAAUUUGUUUCAGGAUGAUAAGAAGGUCUUAGUGCCCCAGAAUGAAUUAAGCUGCUCGUUCCUCUUAUUUUGUUGGUUCUAAUCCUCAUUUUUGUGGUUUAUCGGGAAGGUCUGUUAAAGUUGCUAUAGACAAGGCUAAGAAGCAAUGCAGAUUCAGCCUGGGUAGUGCAUUCUUCUAUGCUUCUUCAACCUUGAUGUCCAGCUACUUCGAAGGGAGGCCUAUAUGGUCUGUAAUUUGUUUGGUUUAUUGGGUUUGGAAGACAUUAAUUCUAGAUGUAAUUUUUGAUGGAAAUAGAGAUGACCACAUCAUAAUAUAGUGUGACUCUCUGCAUCCUAUUAUUUCCCAUAGCUUGGUGAUUGAUCCUUCCCUCAAGGAGGAUGUAAAUCUAGAACGUUUGGUUUGAAUUCAAAAUGAAAAGACACAAUUGUAUGAAGCAUAGUGACUACUGGGUUUGGAGAGUAACCAUUGAUAAUGAGACAUCAUGUAGCCUAUAAAUAGAUGGCUGGAACAAUGGAACUACACACUUGGAAUUGCUAAUUAUUCUCUCUUUGUUUUGACUUCUGGAUUGUAUAUUCUUCUUGCAUGAUAAACACCCUCAUGGGGAUUAUCGAUC